UGUAUACUCCCUCCGUCCGGAAAUACUUGUCAUAGGAUUGGAUGUAUCUAUAUUUAUUUUAGUUCUAGAUACAUCCAUCUUUAUUCAUUUGUGUGACAAGUAAUUUCGGAUGGAAGGAGUACAUG
rfam:Hordeum vulgare subsp. vulgare, WGS project CAJW01000000 data, contig: morex_contig_1602182